rnacentral:sRNA from 1 species
CUGACAUCAGCAGAGACUGAAGUCCUCUGGUUAUCAGGAGUACAGGUACAGUUGUGGACACAUCAGUACAAGCUUUCACACAAUACUCUGCUAAUGUGUCUCACCUCUGACCUGUAGGAUCAUGUCUGAGGUUUACAGGUUGUUCAGCAUGCCCAUUUACGACUUACCCUUU